rnacentral:rRNA from 1 species
GGUCAUAAGAAGGUGCACUGGAUUGGGUGGGAUAAAAUGUGCAUGCGUAAACAUGAAGGGGGCCUGGGCUUUAGGGAUCCGGAAGCUUUCAACCAAGCCAUGCUAGCCAAAGCAGCUUGGCGCCUGCUGCAAGUGCCAAGUUCGCUGUGUGCUCGUGUUCUUAAGGCACGGUAUUAUCCCGAUGGCUCAAUUCUGAAUGCAACGUGCCCUACCGGUGGAUCAUACACUUUCAGGAGUAUAUUGCAUGGCCGUGACCUGCUUGCUGACGGCCUCAUAUGGCGCAUUGGAGACGGGGCACGUAUACUGAUCCACCAUGAUAACUGGCUCCCAAGGAGCGGUAGUCUUAAGCCACUGGGCCAAACCUACAUCGCAGGCGCCACUCGAGUAGGGGAUCUGCUUGAAGCCGAUGGGUCAUCAUGGGACAAACGGAAAGUACAUGAAAUGUUCGCCCCGAAUGAGGCUCAAGAAAUUCUUCAAAUACCAGUUGGGGGACCGGGGGUGCAAGACAACCAAGCUUGGAACUACACCAAGAAUAGUAUUUUCAUGGUCCGCUCAGCCUACCACCUACGAAUGAACCAGAAGAAGGGAAGAUCCGGACGGCCGGAGUCUUCAUCCUCGGGAGCGGAUCACAAGUCUUGGCUGAGCCUUUGGGAUAUGAUCGCACCGGGCAAAGUUAAAAUCCACAUGUGGAGGCUGAUUAGGAAUGGCCUUGCUGUGGGUGCGGAACUACUACGAAGGAAGAUCAAGCAGGGUGUCUUCUGUACGGCAUGUGGGCGGGAGGAAACAAACUUCAUAGAUUCUGGGGUUGCUAUCAUUCUGCCAAGUUUUGGAAGGUAA